rnacentral:lncRNA from 1 species
CAAGACAUAAACCUUAUUUCCAUUCACCUAUCCUUACCCGGCAUUAGUCAUAUGAUCUCAAACUAACUAUCCAUGCAGCUGCACAAUGAAGAAAUUCUGUUUUGCCUUUCGCUUUGCAAAUACCUCACUUUUUCCAGAUGGAGAAAACAAGCUUCAUGAAAGAAAACCAGAACAUGUCCUGGAGAUUGCUUCCACCAGGAUGGAGGUUGUUCUUUGAAGAUCCCAUGGAGAAGCACAUCCAUUCCGAUGACUUGGGACCACCUGUGAACUCUCGCAGCCAGGGUAACAGAGAAUCUGCUGAGGUCCACAUAUGUGCCGGGAGAAUCUACUCCACAGUAUAAGCAUCACAUAUCAUCCUAAAUUGUCAAUUC